AGCUCCAAUAGCGUAUAUUAAAGUUGUUGCAGUUAAAAAGCUCGUAGUCGGAUUUCUGGUUGGAGGGAUCGGUCUUGCCUCACGGCGAGAACUGUGUCCUUUUGACCAUCCUUGGACGGAUCCUGUCUGGCAUUAAGUUGUCGGGUAGGGAAAGUUCAUCAUUUACUGUGAGAAAAUUAGAGUGUUCAAAGCAGGCUUAUGCCUUGAAUAUAUUAGCAUGGAAUAACAACAUAGGACUUCAGUACUAUUUUGUUGGUUUGCGCACUGAGGUAAUGAUCAACAGGGACAGUUGGGGGUAUUGGUAUUCUAGUGUCAGAGGUGAAAUUCUUAGAUUACUGGAAGACUAACUACUGCGAAAGCAUUUACCAAGGAUGUUUUCAUUG
rnacentral:rRNA from 1 species